AAAGCCAUGACUCAACAGCAGAACGUUAACCAUUAUUUGCUUAAUGGAACUCUUUCUGACCAUCACAAUUACCAAGAGAACAUAUAUGUGACCAUAAAUGGCCUUGGAUUAACGUACACUAGGACACUUUCCCUGCUAACCUGUAUAGAUAUGUCUGGAAACAAUUUAAGUGGAGAACUUCCUGAAGCAAUAACAAAAUUAGUUGGUUUGGAGACAUUGAACCUGUCAAGAAACCACAUAAGUGGCCAGAUUCCUAAGAGCAUUUCAGAAAUGCGUCAGCUAUUAUCUCUUGAUCUCUCAGGCAAU
rnacentral:misc_RNA from 1 species